rnacentral:lncRNA from 1 species
CCACAGUGCUGCCUGUCAGCCGGACCCUGUGCCUGUGCAGUGGGAGGAGGGGCUCCCUUUGGACAGCGGCUGGCAACUAUCUAAUUCUAAACCAUCCCUGUGAGCCUCCACCUCUUCCCUUGCUAAGGGGCUGAAAGGAUGGCUGCCUGCCACCGUGCAGCUGCCCGAGACCCUCUGCACAGACCCUGCCAGCUCCUCCCCUGCAAAUUAGACAAUUCAGUUAAAAUUCAUCAUAAAACGUUUACUGUCUCCGGUUCAUCUUCUUAAAAUAUCCUUUUCUUUUUAAUGCAAAUGGCACUAGGAAGGGUGGCACCUUUAAUUUGCACCAAAAUGGAAAUAAUUUCUCAGAUCCACUUUUCUCCCCAGAGGGACUCAGAGACGUGAAACCAUGGGAUGUGUCUCUGUAGAGAGGAAGAGAGAGUGAACCCAAGGGAGGGGGAAUGGAGGAAAAGGCCAUCAUGGUGUUGGGGUUGGGGGGGCAAUUCAGAUGAAACUGUAAGGUUGGGAAAGCUUGUCUGGCAGUCUACCUCGCCCUUCAAGGGGAAUGAGAAAAACAUAGCCCUAAUAAGUCAUUAAGGCUAUAGUCUGAAUUGUAAGUCAUAACACUAUAGCAUGAAUGCCUCUCCCAGGAGCAUUUACUUUUGAAAGAGCUUGACAUUGGGUGGACAGAUCAAAGGAAUGCAUUUUUAGUAGCAAAAUGUUGGAGUCCUUGGUAAUUAUUUGGGGAAAUAAUUGGGUGUGAUGUCCUUCCAGUCCUUCAGAUAACGCACCCGGUGAGUGACCGUGAGGCUCAC